CAACUACUCCCUCUGUCCCAAAUUUGUUGUCUUAGAUUUGUCUAGAUAUGGAUGUAUCUAAUACUAAAAUGUGACUUGAUACAUCCAUAUCUAGACAAAUCUAAGACAAGAAUUUUGGGACGGAGGGAGUACUUU
rnacentral:pre_miRNA from 1 species